rnacentral:rRNA from 1 species
AUUGAACGCUGGCGGCAGGCCUAACACAUGCAAGUCGAGCGGAGCGGCGGACGGGUGAGUAAUGACUAGGAAUCUGCCUGGUCGUGGGGGAUAACGUCCGCAAACGGGCGCUAAUACCGCAUACUAUCAGAUGAUCCUAGGUCGGCUUAGCUAGGUGGUGGGGUAAAGGCCUACCAAGGCGACGAUCCUUAACUGGUCUGAGAGGAGGAUCAGUCACACUGGAACUGAGACACGGUCCAGACUCCUACGGUAGGCAGCAGUGGGGAAUAUUGGACAAUGGGCGAAAGCCUGAUCCAGCCAGGCCGCGUGUGUGAAGAAGGUCUGCGGAUUGUAAAGCACUUUAAGUUGGGAGGCGUUACCAACAGAAUAAGCACCGGCUAACUUCGUGCCAGACGCCGCGGUAAUAC